rnacentral:rRNA from 1 species
CCUACGGGUGGCAGCAGUGGGGAAUAUUGGACAAUGGGCGAAAGCCUGAUCCAGCCAUGCCGCGUGUGUGAAGAAGGCCUUCGGGUUGUAAAGCACUUUCAGUGGGGAAGAAAGCCUUGGGGCUAAUACCCUCGAGGAAGGACAUCACCCACAGAAGAAGCACCGGCUAACUCCGUGCCAGCAGCCGCGGUAAUACGGAGGGUGCGAGCGUUAAUCGGAAUUACUGGGCGUAAAGCGCGCGUAGGCGGUCUGAUAAGCCGGUUGUGAAAGCCCCGGGCUCAACCUGGGAACGGCAUCCGGAACUAUCAGGCUAGAGUGCAGGAGAGGAAGGUAGAAUUCCCGGUGUAGCGGUGAAAUGCGUAGAGAUCGGGAGGAAUACCAGUGGCGAAGGCGGCCUUCUGGACUGACACUGACGCUGAGGUGCGAAAGCGUGGGUAGCAAACAGGAUUAGAUACCCUGGUAGUC